rnacentral:rRNA from 1 species
AUUGAACGCUGGCGGCAGGCCUAACACAUGCAAGUCGAGCGGAUGAAGGGAGCUUGCUCCUGGAUUCAGCGGCGGACGGGUGAGUAAUGCCUAGGAAUCUGCCUGGUAGUGGGGGAUAACGUCCGGAAACGGGCGCUAAUACCGCAUACGUCCUGAGGGAGAAAGUGGGGGAUCUUCGGACCUCACGCUAUCAGAUGAGCCUAGGUCGGAUUAGCUAGUUGGUGGGGUAAAGGCCUACCAAGGCGACGAUCCGUAACUGGUCUGAGAGGAUGAUCGGUCACACUGGAGCGUGAACACCGUCCAGGGUCCUAAGGGAGGGAGCAGUGGGGAAUAUUGGGCAGCAGUCGAAAGCAUGAUCCAACCAUGCCGCGUGUGUGAAGGAGGUCUUCGGAUUGUAAAGCACUCUUAGUUGGGGGAAAGGGCAGUAAGUUGAUACGAUGCGGUUGUGACGGUAACAGGAGAAGAAGCACCGGCUAACUACGUG